rnacentral:lncRNA from 1 species
GGCGGAGACGGAGAGAGGCAGGCAGGCAGGGCGAGGGCGAGAGACGGAGGGAGGGAGCGAGCGAGGCGGACCAGACAGACAGACAGGCGGGCGGGCGGGCAGAGCGAGCCACCCGCCAGGCUGCGCUCAGCCCCGCUCGCAGCGGAGAGAGCAGAAGGCAGGAGGAGGGAGGGGAGGAGGGGGAGGGAGGGAGAGAGGGAAUCCAGCUACCACCACCCAAAGCCAGCGUCUGCUUUCUGUCCUCAUUUCCUUUUCCCACCCAGCUUGGAGAGCAGAGAAAGGCAGAGAGAGCGAGAAAUAGAGACAGUCUGAGAGACAGACAGACAGCCAGAGAGAGCGGGAGGGAGGAGGGCGGAGGAGGAGGAGCAGGAGGACUACGCGGGGCGCGUUCCCUCCCAGCAGCCGGGCGCCCGCGUCGCUGCCACCGCCGGAAGACAGACGUCCCCCAAAACCCCUCGCCUGGCUCGGACCCACGGAGCCGGCAGCCCAGCACUCCGAUGGGAGCUUGCCUGAUUGUCAACCCAUCGGCCUGGACCCCAGAGCCCACCCAGCUGAGCGUGUGCAGAGGGCCCCGAGUGCGGGGCGACGCUCAGGCCGUUGCAGAGACCACCCUGGAGAUGCUGAUGAAGACAGGCCUUUCCUGCUGAGCCCAGCCUAUCUUCGCAGCCUGCUCAGAAAGGGGAACUGAGGCUCAUGGAUAUACAGUGAGUCCUACCUCCUAGCCUGAGGACUCUUCCCUGCGCCUUGAUGACCUGAGAGAACUGGGAGGAGAAAGGGGUUGUGACAAUGACCAGGACUCAGGGCAGAGGUGGAAACCAGAGUGCCUGAUGUGUGCAGCUGCUGACCCCCCAGGACACCUCUCUACCGGAGUCUGUGGAAGCAGAGAACUGGGAGGCCAAGGCGCUGUCCACGCCCCGAGGCCUGGGCUCAGGCCGAAGUUGCUCCACAGCACCCCCAGCUGACAGCCAGCGACUGGCAGAGCCCCCAGGCACGGGGGCCCUCUCUCUUCCAGGUCAGCCGGGUGUCUGCGCUGGACAGAGCGCUGAGGGAACCGGGGGUGGUACCUGGAGGAGGCCGGGCCGGUGGGCAGGGGUUGAGCUG